UACGGGGGGGGCAAGCGUUGUUCGGAAUUACUGGGCGUAAAGGGCUCGUAGGCGGCCAACUAAGUCAGACGUGAAAUCCCUCGGCUUAACCGGGGAACUGCGUCUGAUACUGGAUGGCUUGAGUUUGGGAGAGGGAUGCGGAAUUCCAGGUGUAGCGGUGAAAUGCGUAGAUAUCUGGAGGAACGCCGGUGGCGAAGGCGGCAUCCUGGACCAACACUGACGCUGAGUGAGCGAAAGCCAGGGGAGCAAACGGG
rnacentral:rRNA from 1 species